rnacentral:rRNA from 1 species
CGGACGGGUGAGUAAUGUAUGGGGAUCUGCCUGAUGGCGGGGGAUAACUACUGGAAACGGUAGCUAAUACCGCAUAAUGUCUACGGACCAAAGCGGGGGACCUCCCGGGCCUCGCGCCAUCAGAUGAACCCAUAUGGGAUUAGCUAGUAGGUAAGGUAACGGCUUACCUAGGCGACGAUCCCUAGCUGGUCUGAGAGGAUGAUCAGCCACACUGGGACUGAGACACGGCCCAG